rnacentral:rRNA from 1 species
UAGGAACUUACCCUUCAGAGGGGGACAACCAAGGGGAAAACUUUGGCUAAUACCGCAUAAUCUCGAGAGAGUAAAGCUGCCGCAAGGUGGCGCUGAAGGAGAGGCCUGCGUCCGAUUAGCUAGUUGGUGAGGUAAGAGCUCACCAAGGCGAUGAUCGGUAACUGGUCUGAGAGGACGACCAGUCACACUGGGACUGAGACACGGCCCAGACUCCUACGGGAGGCAG